rnacentral:lncRNA from 1 species
ACCCACGCCGCGCGACCCGCAGCCGCCGCCAGGGCCCUCUGCUGCCGCGGAGGUGCUAGGACAGCCGCGGACGGCCCGCCUCCCCGUGCCCCGGGCCUCGAGGCCAAUAAAAAGCUCGCCCCUCCAGCUCACCGGGUCCGACGGUUUAUGCAUGAACAGAGAAAGCUGAGAUACGGAGACUAGUGAUCCGUCGAGGUAAUAAACGGCACAGGUGGGGUUUGAACUCCAUCAGUUUGAUUGCAGAGGCCUGGAACAACCCUACAGCCUUCUCUCAGAUCUUUUCUGGACCUUUUUCUAUGCGCUUUGCACCUAGGACGUGAGGCUGCCAAGCUUGGUAUUCAAUAAAUAUUGAUGGAUGAAGGAACAAUGGAAGAAAGGAGUGCAUGGGUAAACAAAUGACAAAUAUGUCAAAGCACGGAUGCAGAUUCUUAGAAUGGGCUAAUGCUGUUUUCUGCUGGAUUUUUGGAUGUGUACAAACGAGUUCUCUCACAAUACAGAUCCACAGUGUCUGGGUCAGAGGAGAACUGAUGCUCCGCAUGGCAUUUUACCAUCCUGCCUGCCUGCCUGGGGCCCUGGGCCCACAGGCUUUGGGGAGAGUGUAUGGCCAGGCUGCAGCCUUCCUGGGAUAAAGCUCUGCCUUUUAGUCUCUUAUCCUACUUUUUAGAAGCCCUUUAAGGUCUUUGUUAAAGGAAAUCUAAUGUGAAGAAUUCCAGGAGAACUGGAUAAGCCUGACUAUGGGUGGGCGUGACUGAAUUACUUCCCGGGCUGGCUAAGGAAGGCCUCCCCCGAAGUGCAUCGGAAGCCUGCAGCUUCUCCUUAUGGCCACUGGAGGGCACUUGGACCAUGAAAUACCAGAUCGUCUCGGCGUCCCAGGUCUUUGGAAAUGUGUGAUUCAAUUCAGCAAACGUUUCAAAAUCAUCACUAUAAAGAUAGCGCUUUUGUGUUGAACAUCCAAUAUGGCGCUAAACACCUUAUAUAUAUGUGUGCGUGUAUAUAUGAACUUGCUUAAUAUUAACUACAAUUGUUGUGAGUUACUUAGGCUAUUUAGGAAAAAAAAAUCAAGGCUUAAAGAAGUCAAAGUACUUACCCAAGAUUGCUUAGCUAAAUAAAAUUUGGGAGUAAGGACUUGAACUCAAGCCCUUGGGCACCAACCAUAAGCAAUAGGUGCACACAAAGCUGAAAUGAGGACUCUCUUAUAAGCAGGAAGACGCACACACCACACAAAUAUUAUUGUUCCUCAACAAUUUACACAUUCUGAAAUUGGAAGAUGACUUACAAUUUGUACAUUACAUGGUAAUGUUUCUUUUUUCCCUUGAAAUGAUGUUAUUAAAUAAAUGAAGUGUCUCACAAUUCAUGGUGUCUUAACUUGGAGGAAAUAAAGUCAUAGUAAUACAAGGCAGGGAAAGAUAAUUUUCAUUUAACAUUUAAAUAGCACUUACUAUGUCCCCAGA